rnacentral:tRNA from 4 species
GGAGAGGUACCCAAGCGGCUGAAGGGGCGGGUUUGCUAAACCUGUAGGGGUCCGUAAGGGCCCGCGAGAGUUCAAAUCUCUCCCUCUCCGCCA